rnacentral:rRNA from 1 species
AAAUUUUUUUAUGAAGGCAGCUAGGUCCACCCUAGAAUUUUGGACCAACCUAUCUGAUUCGAUAAUCGAUAUGGGCCAGGAAAAUAAUAUAAAAAAAUAAAAGGGAAAUAGCUAUUCCUGAUCCUCUGUCCAGGCUGAGAAAAAAAUUAACGCAGCCAGGAUUGCCCCUAGCCGCCGAGACACAUCCAUAAUUCUAGACCCAGUCAUCGACACAUCGAGCCAGCCGCUCGCUUCCUCGCGACCUCCCGAUUCCGCCAUCUCGCUCGCUCGUCGCUCGCCGUCCCCGCCUAUGUAGCCGAUCGUUGGGCGCCCAGGACCACAGCCUGUCCAUCCCGCCCGCUCGGUGUUUGGGGCUCGGCGGCGGCCGCGCCACCUCAAUUGCAGAGUCUUGCCCCUACAAGCCGGCGCCGCUGCCCAAUCUGCACAUCAGCGCUCGGCCAAGAGGAAGUAGCCAGCCAGCAAGCAUCCGUGUUGAUUUGCGGGAAACAAUGAGAAGCACUGAGGUUUACAAGAUGGCUUCACUGAUGAUUACCUCUCAAACCACCUAUGUGGUUAGGAGGCGAGGAAAGUUUUCAUACAACACCCACGGUUCAAUAUUGAAGUGUUCCUGAAGAGGUCGAAGGAUGGACGGUCAAUCAUCCACAAGCACUGGCCUAAAGUUGCAAAGACCUUUAACUUGAAUGAAGGCUCAAUAUUCGCCUUCCGCUUCAGCAGUUUUCCAGAUAAGAUGCAUCUCUGUAUGUACCAUCUAUGAUGCUAUUUUCGAAAGGUUCUAGAUGUUGCAUGUGAAACUUGCUGCUAGUGUAGUUGUGUAAUGGGGUAGCUGAGUGCUGAAGCUAUAUCAAGUUGUACUCCGAUGUAUUUCAAUUAUGAAAUCCUUCUUCCUUAAUAUGGAAAUGGAAUAUAUUAUGUGCUUAAUAUGAAUGUCAAUUAGAUUAGUAAAUGGAUUAUUAUUAAUAGGGCCACUAGCCCGCUAAUUGGGUUUUCCUAUUGCAAAUGGUUAAUGAGAAAACACCGUGGGCGAUGACAUCAGGCAACGCACACAGUUUCUAGAAAUAAACCAUGUUGGAUCAAUGAACAAUCCCACAUGACAUUCUUUUUAAAACUAUUUUCGUAACAAAACACUCUUUACUAAAACUAACUUAGUUGUGUCUUUAUCUAAACAUCCCCUAGAUUUUAUUUACGCGCUCUUUAUUAUCUUUCAAACCUAUCCAACAACACCUACAAAGUACUUCUAGUUUCAUACUUGUUCUAGGUAAAGCAAACAUCAAGUGUGCGUAGAGUUGUAUUGGUGGUCGAUAGAACUUGAGGAAAUAUUUGUUCUGCCUUUAGCUCCUCGUUGGGUUCGACACUCUUACUUAUCGAAAACUGUUGCGAUCCCCUAUACUUGUGGGUUAUCAAGACCUUUUUCUGGCGCCGUUGCCGGGGAGUCAUAGCGUGGGGUGAAUAUUCUCGUGUGUGCUUGUUUGCUUUAUCACUAACUAAUUUUUAUUUUCCAUUCUUAGUUGUUCUUUAUCUUUAGUUAUGGAUAUGGGACACGAAAUACCAAAAAAAUUGGGUGUACUUUCUGCUCAUGGAGAUGGGGAACCUCCUAAAAUCCUUGAUGCUGGUUAUGUGAAAGAUAUUAUGUAUUAUUUUAAUAAUCCUGAGAAAACCUCAUUCAAUUAUGUAAUGGGAGUAACAUUGGAUCAACGUGAAUACUUUAGGGAUUACCGCUUGACACAAAAAGAGAAACUAUUAUGGGAUCAAAUUCAUAUAUUGAAUUGGUAUGCUAGGCAACUAUGCUUGAGAUAUGAUUAUACUUGUUGCUCUAGGAUGAAGGCUCCACACCUUCCCUUUUUAUGCGAAUUUAAUGAUAAUAAAACCUUAGCUUCUUAUGCUAAUGGUAUAUAUGAUUACUAUGAUGUGGAACAAAUAGAAGAAUUUGUUGCUUUUAUGGGUGCUUAUGAAAUUGAAUCUAUGUUUAAAGAGUUUGAAGAUUUUGAUGAUUCGGUUUAUAGACCUGAAAAUUUAGCUAUCCUUAAAUAUUGCUAUGAGAAUUAGGAAUACAAUUCCGAUAUUGAUGCACUUAUUGAGAAAGUCUCCGCUGUCCAAGAAGAGACUAAUAUUUUGCAGGAAUCUAUGGAAGAAGAAGUUGAUCAAACUGUGAGCUCAUUGGAUGAAAAAGAUGAGGAGGAGAGCGAAGAACAAAAGGAGGAAGAACGGAUUGAGCACCCGUGCCCACCUUCUAAUGAGAGUAACUCUUCAACUCAUACAUUGUUUAAUUUCCCUUCGUGCUUAUUGAAGGAUGAAUGCUAUGAUAAUUGCUAUGAUCCCGUUGAUUCUUUUGAAAUAUCCCAUUUUGAUGAUGCUUGCUAUGCUUGUGGCCAAGAUGCCAAUAUGAAUUAUGCUUAUGAAGAUGAACUUGCUAUAGUUCCACAUGUUAAACAUGAAAUUGUUGCUAUUGAACCCAUGCAUGAUAGUCCUAUUAUCUUUUUGAAUUCUCCCGACUAAACUAUAUCGGAGAAGUUUGCACUUAUUAAGGAUUAUAUUGAUGGGUUGUGUUUUAAUAUUACACAUGAUGAUUUUGAUGAAUAUAAUAUGCAUGUGCUUGCUGCUCCUACUUGCAAUUAUUACGAGAGAGGAACUAUAUCUCCACCUCUCUAUGUUUCCCACGCGAUAAAAUUGCAAGAAACUGUUUACACUACGCAUUGGCCUUUACUAUGUGUGCAAGAAUUGUUCUUUUAUGACAUGUCGAUGCAUAGGAAGAGAGUUAGACUUCGUCAUUACAUAAUAUAUGUUGCUUUGUGCUCACUACUAAAUUACAAAUCUUUGUUAAUUAAAAUUGUCUUUGAUAUACCUUGGGAUCCGGGUGGAUUUACUACUUGAGCACUAUAUGCCUAGCUUAAUGGCUUUAAAGAAAGCGCUGCCAGGGAGAGAACCCGGAAGUUUUAGAGAGUCAUUUAUUUCUGUUGAGUACUUUUAUAUAAUUUAAAAACAAAAUAAAAAUAAAGAGGGGAACCCAAAACUUUUCAACAAAAGUAAUUAUCCCCUUGUACAAUUCCAUUGUAUUAUAAAAAUAAUGUGCCAAGGUUUGCCUUUAGGAUGUUUACAUUUGCUUGAUGGUUUGUAUGGUGCAGGACAGAAACUUUGGCUGUAGUGCGCGAUUUUACAUUUUUAGCUGGAAUGUCAAAUGAUUCUGAUUCUUUUUGCACUGUCUUUAUAUACAAAUUUUUUAUUUUUCCUAAUUUUGGAAGAAUAUUUCAAGUAUCAGAAGUAUGGUGAAUAUUCAGAUUGUUACAGACUGUUCUGUUUUAGACAGAUUCUGUUUUUGAUGAAUAGUUUGCUUGUUUUGAUAAAACUAACGAUUUAUAUCGGUGGAUUAAGCCAUGAAAAAGUUAUAUUACAGUAUACACAAUGAAAAAACAAAAUAUGAAUUGGUUUGCAACAGUACUUAGAUUAGUGAUUUGCUUUAUUAUACUAACGGAUCUUACCGAGUUUUCUGUUGAAAUUUUGUGUGGAUGAAGUGUUCGAUGAUUGAGAAGGUCUCGAUGUGAGAAGAAGGAAGAGAGGCAAGAGCUCAAGCUUGGGGAUGCCCGAGGCACCCCAAGUAAAUAUUCAAGAAGACUCAAGCAUCUAAGCGUGGGGAUGCCCCGGAAGGCAUCCCCUCUUUCUUCAACAAAUAUUGAUGACAGAUCUCAGGAGCCAGAUGACACCACUGAUGACUACUGCUACCCGAGGGUGCCUACUACUACGUGACGGCCGCUGACGACUUGGAGUAGUUAGGAGGCUCCCAGGCAGGAGGCCUUGCCUUUUCGAUCAAUGUUGCUUUUGUGCUAGCCUUCCUUGUCUAACUUAUGUGUGUACUCAGAUAUUGUUGCUUCCGCUGACUCUUGUGUAUUCGAGCUUAUGUAUUCGAGCCCUCGAGGCCCCUGG